CCUACGGGAGGCAGCAGUAGGGAAUAUUGCACAAUGAGGGAAAGCUUGAAGCAGCGACGCCGCGUGGAGGAUGAAGGUUUUCGGAUUGUAAACUCCUGUUGUUAGAGAAGAUUAUGACGGUAUGUAACGGAUAAGCACCGGCUAACUCCGUGCCAGCAGCCGCGGUAAUACGGUGGGUGCAAGCGUUACUCGGAAUCACUGGGCGUAAAGUGUGCGUAGGCGGGGUAAUAAGUCAUAUGUGAAAUCCUGUAGCUAAAAUACAGAACAGCAUUUGAAACUGGUACUCUGGAGUGUGGGAGAGGUAGGUGGAAUUCUGGGUGUAGCGGUAAAAUGCGUAGAGAUCAAGAGGAAUACUCAUGGCGAAGGCGACCUGCUGGAACAUUACUGACGCUGAGGCACGAAAGCGUGGGGAGCAAACAGGAUUAGAUACCCUUGUAGUC
rnacentral:rRNA from 1 species